rnacentral:rRNA from 1 species
UGGGGAAUAUUGGACAAUGGGCGCAAGCCUGAUCCAGCCAUACCGCGUGGGUGAAGAAGGCCUUCGGGUUGUAAAGCCCUUUUGUUGGGAAAGAAAAGCAUUCGGUUAAUACCCGAUUGUUCUGACGGUACCCAAAGAAUAAGCACCGGCUAACUUCGUGCCAGCAGCCGCGGUAAUACGAAGGGUGCAAGCGUUACUCGGAAUUACUGGGCGUAAAGCGUGCGUAGGUGGUUGUUUGAAGUCUGUCGUGAAAGCCCUGGGCUCAACCUGGGAAUUGCGAUGGAAACUGGGCGACUAGAGUGUGGCAGAGGGUAGUGGAAUUGCCUGGUGUAGCAGUGAAAUGCGUAGAGAUCAGGAGGGAACAUCCGUGGCGAAGGCGACUGCCUGGGCCAACACUGACACUGAGGCACGAAAGCGUGGGGAGCAAACAGGAUUAGAUACCCUGGUAGUCCACGCCCUAAACGAUGCGAACUGAUGUUGGGUGCAAUUUUGGCACGCAGUAUCGAAGCUAACGCGUUAAGUUCGCCGCCUGGGGAGUACGGUCGCAAGACUG